UCCGCCAUACGCAGAAACGCGUCUUCCGGCUCAGACCCUCGCGCCCAGGUCCUCGAGACCCGCUGCCCGGGGAUUCCCGGAAGUGACUGGGCCGGAGGCUUCCGGUGGUGGUCGGGGAAAAUGGCAGUGUUCACGGUGUUCCCGGCUCUGGCGCGGAUGCUUGCUCUGUCAAGUCGCAGCCAAGUGUCUCCUUUGGUCAGUGUGACAUCAUUCAGACGCUUCUACAGAGGUGACAGCCCAGCAGAUUCUCAAAAAGACAUGAUUGAAAUCCCCUUGCCUCCAUGGCAGGAGCGAACUGAUGAGUCCCUAGAAACCAAAAGAGCCCGUCUACUCUAUGAAAGCAGAAAGAGGGGAAUGUUGGAAAACUGCAUUCUCCUUAGCCUCUUUGCUAAAGAAUAUCUGCAUGAAAUGACAGAGAAACAGCUGAACCUCUAUGAUCGUCUGAUUAAUGAGCCCAGUAAUGACUGGGAUAUUUACUACUGGGCCACAGAAGCAAAACCAGCCCCAGAAGUAUUUGAAAAUGAAAUCCUGACACUGCUAAGAGACUUUACCAAGAACAAAAACAAAGAGCAGAGACUGCGUGCCCCAGAUCUUGAAUACCUCUUUGAAAAGCCACGUUGAGCCGUCACCCGGCCUGCCGCUGGGGCUCAGCCCAGGGACCCUAACUGCUUGUGGGGAGAUCAGAUGAGAUGAGAGAAAGCAUGCACAGCUCUUACCACCUAGCAUGAGAAUGUUCAACUGCUGCCACUUUCACCUGGGGAUGGCAUGCUUCGAAAGGAAAUGUUUUCUUCCCAGGCUGCUGGCUUGUGUCAUCUUUGAAAGUGACGGAUCUUGCUAACUUCAGCUGCUCAGUGUCAGGCCCAGGGCAGCUACGUAAACAGUUUUUCCCUUUAUUAGGCAUUACAUAAAACUAGGCCGGCCACAGUGCAUUUUUUAAAAAUUAAUAAUUGCAUCGCAAGAGCCAGCAGCCCUCCAAGGAUCCAUGAGGAGCUGAAACGACUCAGUCCUUUCAGUUUGACAUCGACGCAUCCGUGCACAGUGACCUCAUUCAGCGCCUGCCUGGGCCGACAAGCGCCUGGUUGUGCUUCAACCGAUCUGAAGGGGUCUCGUGAGCCCCAUUGCACAGGCUCCCAUGGGACAUGUCAAACUGGGUCAGUAGAGGCUGUUCUCUUCCCAUUAUUUCCUCUCUUGGUCAUUUUAGCAGGGAAAGGGAUGUCACUGGGAUAGUUGAGAGACUUGUAUUUAUCCUUCAGCCCAUCUGCUGCUGUCAGGGCUAGAUGAAGAGAGGAAGAUGCAGUGAUAAGUAAGCUCCAGCAGCCUUAAAUAGCAAAUCAGGUCUGUAGGACUUUGCGAAGUCAGCUCUCUCUCUUAUUUUACUACAUCCUCAGAGUAUCCAAGGAUGGUAGACUCACCUUCUUGCAGAUGUGAAGCUGAUAGGUGAUCGGCUCCCAAUCAAGCCACCUUGCAACAUUUCAGUUUUCCAGGGAGACCUCUGGGAAUGAGGAAUGGAGUUAGAAUCUUCCCCGGUCAGGUGAAAUGACAUUGGUGGGACAGGCGACUUUAGGCAGGUAGUGCUCUUUGCCAUCCAUUACAGUGGACUGUAGAAAAGGUUAAGUUACCCAAGGCAAAUAUCAGGCUUCAAAGGAGAAAAAAAUCUGCCCCAGUAACCUGUAGCCACAGAAGAAGAACAGAAGUCUUUUGCUGGGUCCCACAUCUUGCCGGAAUUCAGAUGCUCCUGCCAAAGAGGAGAAUGUUCUCUUUAGAAAGGGCAAAUGGACACAUCACUUCACCUAACUACGUAGCAGCAUGUAGUUUUAAAAAGCAAAUCAUGAUGUAAAGAUGUACAUUUUGUUUCCCAGUGUAUUUCAGGCUAUUUAAUUAGUAUU